rnacentral:rRNA from 1 species
GAUGAACGCUGGCGGCGUGCCUAAUACAUGCCAGUCGAGCGAACAGACCCUGCGCUUGCUCCUCUCACGUUAGCCGCGGACGUGUGAGUCACACGUGUAUCCCCUACCUAUCAUACUGGUAUCACUUCGGAACACCGGCGCUAAUCCCAGAUAAUCUCUUGCACCACAUUGUUCAAUAGUGAAAUACGGUUUUUCUGGCACUUCUCGAUGGAUCCGCGCCGCAUGAGCUAGUUGGUAAGGUACCGGCUUACCACGGCAACGAGGCGUAGCCGACCGGAGAGGGGGAUCGGCGACACGGGAACUGAGACACGGACCAGACUACUACGGGAGGGAGCAGUAGGGAAUGUGACGCAAUGGGCGAAAGCAUGACGGAGUAACGCCGCGUGAGUGAUGAAGGUCUUCGGAUCGUAAAAAUCGGUUAUGAGGGAAGAACAAAUGUGUAAGGAACUAUGCACGGAUUGACGGUAAUUAAUCAGAAAGCAACGGCUAACUACGUG